GACGAACGCUGGCGGCGUGCUUAACACAUGCCAGUCGAACGGUGAAGCGCCUUCCUUUUUGGUGGGUGUGGAUGAGUGGCGAACGGGUGAGUAACACGUGAGUAACCUGCCCCCUUCUUCUGGAUAACCGCAUGAAAGUGUGGCUAAUACGGGAUAUUCUGGGUCUGUCGCAUGAUGGGUCUGGGAAAGAUAUUGUUUCGGUGGGGGAUGGGCUCGCGGCCUAUCAGCUUGUUGGUGGGGUGAUGGCCUACCAAGGCGGUGACGGGUAGCCGGCCUGAGAGGGUGGACGGUCACACUGGGACUGAGACACGGCCCAGACUCCUACGGGAGGCAGCAGUGGGGAAUAUUGCACAAUGGGCGCAAGCCUGAUACAGCGACGCCGCGUGAGGGAUGGAGGCCUUCGGGUUGUGAACCUCUUUCGCCAGUGAAGCAGGCCUGCCUCGUUUGUGGGUGGGUUGACGGUAGCUGGAUAAGAAGCGCCGGCUAACUACGUG
rnacentral:rRNA from 1 species